UGCUGAAGCUCCACACGCCGCUGUGAACUGGUGGGGAAAAAAAACAAAACAGAUUUUCCAGAAGAAUUUAAAAGUUAAAAAGGUUGUUGUUAUUUUUUUGGUUAGUUCAGGCUGCAGACAAGCUGUAUCGUUCGUCUCCACAUGCAAUAUCACUCGGUUGGUAGAAGAUGGUAACAAGCUAAGCCACCCCUAUAGCCAGGAUGACAGGAAUCGUGGCUCCAGGAAAGCAGUGUCUAGCUGCGUUACAGAAACUGUUUAUCCUGAUUAUGGAAAUCCCCACUUCUGAUGUGGUUGGAGAGAAGAGAGGAUGAGGAGCUGACGACUGUGGGUUCUCAGGGCUGGAGAGAGAAGAAUCUGUGUGAAUGUCGCUGGCUGGCAAGUGUUGUGACGAGGCGGUGACGGCAGACCUGCGAGAGGGAUUCCUUGCACACUAGUGUGCCGACUCGGGACGAGGAAGACUUCCAUUUCUGAGCACGGCCCCUCUCAGUCUUACGACGGGAAGCCAUUGACAGGGAUGAGGGCUGAGGAUUUUGCUUUGCAGUGGAGCGGCAAGCCACCUGAACACUGAUAGCUACAAGAGGGGACACCUCGUCAUCUCCCCGACACAGUUGAAGGCCGUUGCUAGGAAGAAGGCCAUCUGGACAACUUCAAAGGUUCACUCACCACGGCAUCAAGGCGUAUCGGGUCAGAGACACACAAACAAUUAUAUACACAUUUGGGGAAAGAUGAGGUCCAACACAGAGACAGCCAACUCAGCCAACAGAGAGACAGACAACUCAGCCAACAGAGAGACAGACAACUCAGCCAACAGAGAGACAGCCAACUCCGCCAACAGACAGACAGCCAACUCCGCCAACAGACAGACAGACAACUCAGCCAACAACAAGAGACUUUCAAAUAGACAUGAUGUGGCGCAGACAAGAGAGACAGACACAAUUCUAUAACUAUAGCCUACAUUUAAAUGAUUAAAAUGUUUUAUAUAACAAAAUACAUCGAAUAAAAAAAUUAGUCUUUUUUUCCCCCAAAAAAUUACGUAAGCGGUCCCCAGAGGUCGAGGGCCAUGGAUUUCUGGUCCCCGGGAAUGAAACGUUUGCGAAAGGCCGCAUCCUUUAUCGUCGUCUGGACCAAAUGACUCAUAGCCACAGACCCAGAGAUCGGAUUUGAGAACACUCCGGAAUUCUGCCGACUGAGUGUUGAUCUGACCCUUCCCACAAUUGGCGGAAUGGGUUGAUUUCUGCUAAGCAUGUGGAAAUAAUUUAGUCUUGAGACGUUCGGGACUGGAGGGAAGUGUGUUCUUAUGAUGGUAUCGUCUACGGCAGUCAACCCCCCCGGUCCUGGAUCAUACCUCAGUUGGGAAGUAUAAAUCCCCGUUAUUGAGAAAAUACACGGGCUUGCCUUGUUGAGCUUGGCAGUUCAAAUUAUUGAGGUCAAGCCAGCCGCCACUUUAUGUCCUUCUGCGUUAUUUAUAUUCCUUAUUUACGCUUGUGUAAUUACGGUAAUGACGUUGUCCCCUUGGAGGAACUGAAUAGGUCGUCAACGAAAGGGCGAUUUGCCGUCACUUUUAUUGACUUGACAGUAGACAGGCUUGUGGAGUAACGGAAUACAGUAACGGGCGUUACGUAAUCAGGGUACAAAAAAAAUGUAACUUCCAAUAAAGUGGCAGAGAA